GACGAACGCUGGCGGCGUGCUUAACACAUGCAAGUCGAACGGUAAGGCUCCAGCUUGCUGGGGUACACGAGUGGCGAACGGGUGAGUAACACGUGGGUGACCUGCCCUGCACUUCGGGAUAGGCCUGGGAAACUGGGUCUAAUACCGGAUAGGACCGCACCGUGAGGGUGUGGUGGAAAGUUUUUUCGGUGUGGGAUGGGCCCGCGGCCUAUCAGCUUGUUGGUGGGGUAAUGGCCUACCAAGGCGGCGACGGGUAGCCGGCCUGAGAGGGUGGACGGCCACAUUGGGACUGAGACACGGCCCAGACUCCUACGGGAGGCAGCAGUGGGGAAUAUUGCACAAUGGGCGGAAGCCUGAUGCAGCGACGCCGCGUGGGGGAUGACGGCCUUCGGGUUGUAAACUCCUUUCACCAUCGACGAAGGGUUUCUGACGGUAGAUGGAGAAGAAGCACCGGCUAACUACGUGCCAGCAGCCGCGGUAAUACGUAGGGUGCGAGCGUUGUCCGGAAUUACUGGGCGUAAAGAGCUCGUAGGUGGUUUGUCGCGUCGUCUGUGAAAUUCCGGGGCUUAACUCCGGGCGUGCAGGCGAUACGGGCAUAACUUGAGUACUGUAGGGGAGACUGGAAUUCCUGGUGUAGCGGUGAAAUGCGCAGAUAUCAGGAGGAACACCGGUGGCGAAGGCGGGUCUCUGGGCAGUAACUGACGCUGAGGAGCGAAAGCAUGGGGAGCGAACAGGAUUAGAUACCCUGGUAGUCCAUGCCGUAAACGGUGGGCGCUAGGUGUGGGUUUCCUUCCACGGGAUCCGUGCCGUAGCUAACGCAUUAAGCGCCCCGCCUGGGGAGUACGGCCGCAAGGCUAAAACUCAAAGGAAUUGACGGGGGCCCGCACAAGCGGCGGAGCAUGUGGAUUAAUUCGAUGCAACGCGAAGAACCUUACCUGGGCUUGACAUAUACAGGAUCGCGCCAGAGAUGGUGUUUCCCUUGUGGCUUGUAUACAGGUGGUGCAUGGUUGUCGUCAGCUCGUGUCGUGAGAUGUUGGGUUAAGUCCCGCAACGAGCGCAACCCUUGUCUUAUGUUGCCAGCACGUUGUGGUGGGGACUCGUAAGAAACUGCCGGGGUUAACUCGGAGGAAGGUGGGGAUGACGUCAAAUCAUCAUGCCCCUUAUGUCCAGGGCUUCACACAUGCUACAAUGGUCGGUACAGUGGGUUGCCAGUCCGUGAGGGCGAGCUAAUCCCGCAAAGCCGGUCUCAGUUCGGAUCGGGGUCUGCAACUCGACCCCGUGAAGUCGGAGUCGCUAGUAAUCGCAGAUCAGCAACGCUGCGGUGAAUACGUUCCCGGGCCU
rnacentral:rRNA from 1 species